GAUAAACGCUGGCGGCGUGCCUAAUACAUGCAAGUCGAGCGAACGGACGAGAAGCUUGCUUCUCUGAUGUUAGCGGCGGACGGGUGAGUAACACGUGGAUAACCUACCUAUAAGACUGGGAUAACUUCGGGAAACCGGAGCUAAUACCGGAUAAUAUUUUGAACCGCAUGGUUCAAAAGUAAAAGACGGUCUUGCUGUCACUUAUAGAUGGAUCCGCGCUGCAUUAGCUAGUUGGUAAGGUAACGGCUUACCAAGGCAACGAUGCAUAGCCGACCUGAGAGGGUGAUCGGCCACACUGGAACUGAGACACGGUCCAGACUCCUACGGGAGGCAGCAGUAGGGAAUCUUCCGCAAUGGGCGAAAGCCUGACGGAGCAACGCCGCGUGAGUGAUGAAGGUCUUCGGAUCGUAAAACUCUGUUAUUAGGGAAGAACAUAUGUGUAAGUAACUGUGCACAUCUUGACGGUACCUAAUCAGAAAGCCACGGCUAACUACGUG
rnacentral:rRNA from 1 species